rnacentral:rRNA from 1 species
GGAAGAGACAGGGGAGGGAGGUCCGGUCCGGUCCGGUGGUUAUUUGGCUGGGGGAGCCAGCCAAGGAGAGCCAAGGACGCGCGGGAUCGGGUCUGCCGUCACCACCACCGCCUCCGCCCGCCUGCGUCGCUCUCCGGCCCCGUGCCGUCCCCCACCCCCACCAUUCCUCCUCUCCUCUCCGGCCCCUCCAAUCCAAUCCCGCCGAAUCCACUCCUCCUCCUCCUCGUCCCCCUCCCGCGGCCUCGCCUCGAUCCGGAAGGAAUCUCCGGCCGGCCUCCCUCCCUCCAAUUCCGCGCCCAACUCCCCAGCUUGGGGCCAUUUUGGAAUCGUCCUCCCUCGAGGCGUCUGUCUCGGCCCCAAAGAUCCAAUUCGGUUGGAUUUCUGCUCCCGAGCCGGAGCCCGUCCGGAGGCGCACGACCUGAGACCGGCGCGGAGGGAGUUGAUGCCACCCGGCGAUGGAUCGCCGAGCCUUCAGGAGUAACUCGUGCAACAGCAAGAACACGGCGCCUCCCCCCUCGCCCUCGGCGGCGUCGGCGGCGGUGUACCGGACGUCCUCGGCGCCGGUGGGGGGCUCCAAGGACAACGUCGGCGAGCGCAAGGCGCUGCUGCCCCGGCGCCCCGAGGGCGGCACGGCCCGCAAGGCCUACAAGGGCCCCAAGCGGCGGGUGCAGUGGAAGGACACCCACGGGAAGAAGCUCGCCGAGGUCUUGGAAUUCCAGCCUAGUGAUUCAAGUGACUCGGAUGAUGAUUAUUUGGAUACUUGCAUAUGCUCAGUCAUGUAAAUACCGCAGGGCUGAAUCUCCGGUGCAUCUUGCGCAGGUGGAGAGUACGAGUGUUUAGCAAGAGCUGUAUCUUAAUGUUAUGCAUUGGCCUAACAGUCUUGUAUAGAAAAAGGUUCACUCCAACAGGCUCAAACUAUCUCAUGUAGAGCAAGUCAGGGCUGCGACCUAGCAAGGACUGGCGACGACGAGCCCAUAUCAUCUGUUGAAUGCGCAAGCAGCAGGAAGUUGCGUCAGAAUUUUGAGAUAUCGCCACGCAGCAGUUAGAAAGGAAAAAAAAAAGGACACGCGGUGUUCUCAGCAGCAGCCUUGCUCUCUUCCUGACGAGUAACGUUAUGUGUCAUAAGCAAAAUGCUCUUAGAAUCAGACACCGACAUGUCUUGCGCGGCUGGAAUUGCGACCGAUUUUUUGUCAAUAGUAGUGUCUGCCUCUUGGCAUGUUAACUAACUAGCUGAUGUUCCUGUCUGUCUGUCAGUCUGAUGCUGUCAUCACACGCUUAACAUUAUUCUUGCAUGACUUGAUGUGUGAUGGAUGCUGUAAUUCCAAAGUGCAAGGUUUGUCACAUUCCUGUGCCCUGUUGGGCAGUUCACUGUCAUCAAAAGGGGCCUCUCUUUUUUAUUUCUGCAGAAGAUGAACUUCUCAUCAAAGCUCCAGUAAUUUACCGCCUUGUUCACCUCAAAAGAAAAAAAAACACCACCUUGUAUGUUGUCAUACAUUUUUUUACACCUUUUAUUUUAAACAUCAUGUGUAUUGAUUUUCUUCUUGUAAAUAGUUACUUCCUGACAUGUGAUACAAGAAAGCUAAAUUCUGUACCCGCAAAAAAUAAAGCUAAAUUCUACACAGAAAAAGGUUUAUUUUAG